rnacentral:rRNA from 1 species
AUACGUAGGGUGCAAGCGUUAAUCGGAAUUACUGGGCGUAAAGCGUGCGCAGGCGGUUUUGUAAGACAGUGGUGAAAUCCCCGGGCUCAACCUGGGAACUGCCAUUGUGACUGCCAGGCUGGAGUGCGGCCGAGGGGGAUGGAAUUCCGCGUGUAGCAGUGAAAUGCGUAGAUAUGCGGAGGAACACCGAGUGCGAAGGCACAACCCUGGGCCUGCACUGACGCUAAUGCACGAAAGCGUGGGGAGCAAACAGGGUUAGAUACUAUGUAAGCCGACGCCCUAACCGAUGUCAACGGGUUGCUUGGGAUUUAGUUUGUCAGUAACGAAGCUAAAGCGUGAAGGUGAACGCUUGGGGAGUACGGCCGCAAGGUUAAUACUCAAAGGAAUGUGCGGGG